CAGAAUCGAGUAACCUUCACUUUUACACAAUCAUGAACUAUCUAGCACAUGACAAUACUAUUCUUCAACAUACUUUACAACUUAACUUCACAUUCUGUACCAAGCUGAACUUGGCGUUAUCCUUUUUCUAUAUCUGGCCGUAUUCGCCUUAUCUGCAAUGUUUUAUCAUGAUAUAGAAAGGGUGAGCAUGAAAGUUGCCCAACAAGUUUAAAAACAAGGUAAAGAUAUAUCAUGAUGGAAAGAGUUUGAAUAAUAAGAUGACUAUCCUUCACAAAGUAUUUGUGAAUUAGCAUGAACAAAGUUUUGACUGAACAAGUAUUGAACAGGAACAAUAGUAUAUCUGGACCAACUGGUAAUGAAGGUGAUCAACCUUUCAUACCCGACUUAUACAUGCAAGAUGUACAGAGUACAAUUCAUAAGCAUAUCUGUCCGAAACCACUCUUAAAAGAGUUUAAGUAAAAAGAACUUGAAAAACUUGCCUGAACCGUUGAUUACCGUAACGCAAUAUAAUACGCUUCUCCUGAAGACCUAAUAUUAAUAAUAUAGAUCUCCAAUAUUAGAAUAAUAUCAUCACCGUUAUAAAAUAACUUAAACACAUAAUCCUAUCAGUCUAUACAGCAUAUAAAACCUAUAAUAGAUCUUUCGGUUAGUCAUAACAUAUAGUUAAGUAUUAGACAUUAGUUUUAAGUCUUAAUAUUAUUAUUAUACUUUGAUAUUCUUUUAAUCACAUCAUAACUUGUACUUAUAAGUUAUUCAUUUUUAUAUGUUAUCCUAGUAAAUUAGAUAACAUCUUAGUAAACCGAAAUACCAUUUCAGUAAGACGGAUUUCAUUUCAGUAUCCUGAAAUCAAUAUUCUUUUUCACGAAAAAUACCAAAUCAACUUAUUAUUUUUCUAUCCUUUGGUCAAACACAUAUACAUAUAUUUCAUACACAAAAAUUAUUUUUCCAUAAUUUUCCAAGUUCCUUUAGUAUUUUUUCAAAAAUCAUUUCUAGUUAAUUCCUUAAGAAAUUAGCUACCUUGUGCUUAACUCCAGAGAUGCCCAUCUUUUUACAUAACCUUAUAUAUGUUAACGUGAUGCUCUAUUUUAAAUUUCGUGGCAAUCGGAGUUGUAGAACUCCGGUUAUAACGAUUUCCGUCGGAAAAUCACAAAAAUUGAAAUGGUCAUAACUCGGUCAUUUUAAGUCGGAAUUAGCUCAUUUUUGGACAUGAGGUACUUAAUACCAUAUAUUUUCAUUUCCCAAAAGGUCGGAAUUUAUUUCACAAUGUAAGUUGCCAAAACAGCCCCUGGACAGAUCUGGACAGAAACUUUUUGUCAUUUGGCAGUUUUGGAGUCCUUUACUAAAUCUUAAAUAAAAUGAGAUCUGUAACUCCGACUAACGAUCCGUCAAUUUUGUUGGAUUCCUAUCUUUCCAAACUACAGUUUUCAUCUAUCACAAUCCAUAUUUGGACAUGUUAAGCUCCCUGAAAUUAGCCCGGAAGUGGCUGUUACAAACUGUUACUCUAACAGUUUUUCUUACCUUUGAGUAGUUUGGGAGAAAUUUCAUAACUCUCUCCUCCGAUGUCGGAUUUAGUCCGUUUCGGAGUCUAUGGAAAUCUUAUUGAAUGUACUAUAACAUACCAAAAGCCCAGAAUUUUUAGAGCAAGCUAGCUAACCCCGAAAUGUCCUUUUUAGGUCAGCAGUUUACUAGUUUUCACACUUACAAAAAAAUUAGUUUUCUUUCCCUUCCUUACUUAAGCUUUUCACUACCAAAAAUGGUUAGAUCUACUCAUAAAACACUCUAAAUCAUGUAGAUCUAGAGUUUUGAAGAUCAAGAACAUAACUCCAUGUUUUGAUUUAAAACAACAAGAAUAACUAGCUAAAUGUAGUUUAAUACCUUAAUAUCUUGCUAGCCCUUCUUAAUCUUUCAAAGUAGAUGAUGAUCUUUGUUGUUGUUCUUGGCUUGCUACAUGAUGUUCCUAGCUCAUCUUCUCUCUCUCACUCUAAUUCUUGAAAUGUAAGAGAGAGAAUGGCUUGGCAAUAAUGAGGAGUAAAGUAAGUAUUUUUCUUACUUUAAAUCUCCUAAUUUAGGUUUAAUGUAUCUAGUUGCUAGGUAUUAACAUUGGAUGCUACUUAAUAUAGAGCACAUGGCUAGGCUAGAAAUAUUCCCACUCAUUAUUUGCUAGAUUUGUAAGAUAACAUAGGAUUCUUUAGCAAUUAUUCAUCAAAAUGGGACAAAAAGGGUAAAAUGGACAUUUCCACAUUAAUAUUUGAUUUCUUUUUUUUUUUUUUUUAUUUCUUAUUUAGCAUACCAAAUGUCCAAUAUGUCCCUCCUUAAUUGGGCUUAAAUUUGGGUCACCAUUUCCAUCUUUUGGGCUAUCAAUAAAUAAUAUAUUGGACUUAAAAUUUAAUUCUUUGGGCCAUGUAAAUUAACAUAGUCCAAUACUAUUAAUUCUUUUCCAACCCAAAUCAUUAAAUUAGGGUUUUCAUUUUCCUCAAUUAUAACUUAAAUCCUUACUCAUGCACAUUUAUUUCCUUAACCCAAUUAGACUUGCUAAAAUUAGGUUAUAAAAUUAAUUAACUGAGAUGUAUAAAAUAAAUCUCUUAGAGUUAGUAUAUAUCUAAAUACUAUUAUUUCCCCCAACUCAUAACUCUUAAGUUAUUCAAUCAUUCAUUCUUAAUAUAUAAUUAGGAUUACAUUAGUUUAUUUUAUUUGUUUAUAUAAUAAACAAACAAACACAUAAUAUUCAUAUUCAUUACACACAUAACUUUUAAUCCCUUAGGGUUUUAUACAAAACAUUAGGAUUUCUAAUUUAACAAUUAGGGUUAUCCCUAAUAUAUAAUCAAAAAUACUUAAGCCAUUAUAUUUAGCCUUUGACUUCCCAAAUUAGGGUUUCAAAUACCG
rnacentral:lncRNA from 1 species